UAGUCCGCUCCUGCUGGAAACAGCGGGGUACAGUGAAUCCCUUGGUCGAAGGUUCGAGUCCUUCCGGGCCCACCA
rnacentral:tRNA from 3 species